AGUAAGGAAUUAAUUAACAUACAUUAACUCUUUUAGUACUCUUGAUAUAUCUACAGUAAUUAACAUAUUGCAUUCACAACUUUCUGUAGUGUAUAUUUUGUACACUAAUUUUGUUACUUUUUCCUUCCAGAACCAACAUUUUUCACACAACUCCAGGUUGUUACUACUACAAGUGUCAUCAAGGGAUAACUACAAGUAGAAGCACCAUUUUUGGAUGGAAAAAACCCUUCAGGAAAGUAUACGUAUCACAUGUAACAUGUAGUGUAACAAAGUAUGAACAGUAAGGUUUUUACAUACAGUAGUAUUACAUACGUACAUAACUUUUUUUUACAGGAAUUUCCAACCAAGUUUGAUUAUGUACAUACAUGUUAUAAACCACUGUACGUAUGGUUACUGUAUGUAACUUACUAAACAUACAUAACAUGACUUAACUUUGAUACUUUUUUGGUACAUUCCAGAAAACCAGGACCCCCUCCAUGAUGCAGGCUAUGGGGCCACAUAAAACUUUGUCCAGGGUUACUACAUAACAUAAAGAACCCCCUGAAUGAUGUAGGCUAUGGGGCCACAUAAGACUUUGUGCAUCCAGGGUUACAUAGCAUGACAACUUUAAACUAAAAAGCUACCAGACUGGGAUUUUAGUGUACUCCAGGAUCUACCAAAUACUACGUAGUGUACAGUGCAUAAUAUAGUGUUUAGUGUAUAAUCUAACCUAAGGAUUAAGUGUAGUACAUUGUGCUUUAUAGUGUCACAA